rnacentral:lncRNA from 1 species
AGAGACUGAGGGAAGUGUCCCAGAUAGGAGGAGACAAAGCAGACGUGAGAACUCAGUGCAGUGUGUGAGCCUGGGUUGGAGCCUGGAACAGAAGAAGAUCAGUGGGACAACUGACAAAGAUGGAAUAAGGGGAAGUUACCUGACAUGUCUGCGAGGACACUCAAGCAGCCUUAUGGAGAGGCCAUGUGGCGAAGGUCUGAGGCCUCCUGUCAACAGCUUGGUGAGGGCGCCAUCUUGGAAACAGAUCCUCCAGCUCCAGGCAAGCCC